rnacentral:rRNA from 1 species
UACGUAGGGUGCAAGCGUUGUCCGGAAUUAUUGGGCGUAAAGAGCUCGUAGGCGGUUUGUCGCGUCUGCUGUGAAAUCCCGAGGCUCAACCUCGGGCCUGCAGUGGGUACGGGCAGACUAGAGUGCGGUAGGGGAGAUUGGAAUUCCUGGUGUAGCGGUGGAAUGCGCAGAUAUCGGGAAGAACACCCGUGGCGAAGGCGGCUCUCUGGAACGCAACUGACGCUGAGACGCGAAAGCGUGGGGAGCAAACAGG